UACCAGCACCCCGAGUGGUCGGGACGUUUAUUGGGCCUAAAGCAUCCGUAGCCGGUUCUACAAGUCUUCCGUUAAAUCCAACUGCUUAACAGGUGGGCUGCGGAAGAUACUAUAGAGCUAGGAGGCGGGAGAGGCAAGCGGUACUCGAUGGGUAGGGGUAAAAUCCGUUGAUCCAUUGAAGACCACCAGUGGCGAAGGCGGCUUGCCAGAACGCGCUCGACGGUGAGGGAUGAAAGCUGGGGGAGCAAAGCCGGG
rnacentral:rRNA from 1 species